AGAUGCGCCCGCCGGAGCCUGGCCUCCUUCUCCAGCUCAUAUAAGGUAAAAAGAAAAAGGUUUUCCAGCUUCUGAGCCGCAUGGAAGGAGUUUUCGCCCAGCACUCCCAUGCCAGCUGCUUAAAAAACCCCAGCGGGCAGUGUGGGGCCGCAGUGCCAGUUAUAAUGGGACAGGAGGAGGUGGCAGUUGUGUGCCCGCGCCCCACGAUGAUGUGGGACAGGGUGGCAGGAGCGGCCGCUGCAGAGAGGGGAAAGGGCGCAGUGUUGUAACCGUGGGGAGGGCUCUGACGCAGCCCAGCGCUGCCGGCUCGCCCAGCCAGGGACGCGGCUCCGCGGAGCAGAGGCGGAGCCUUGACCAUGGGAGUACCCAGGGACGCAGACAUCACUGGAGAUGCUGGAGGUGCACAGAGACUGUACAUUCCCGGACAGCGAGAGAAGGGCAGAGCUGGCAUGCCAAUGUACUACCCACACCAGAUGCCCUUUGGGCACUGGCAGCAGCACACAAACCCAGCAGCCCCCUGAGCAGGGCUGGCUCUCAGGGCAGUGCUCAGCCUGAGGCUGCUCCCUGCUAAAAGCAGCCCGGCCCCUUCCCAGGGAGCUGCACAUAGGGAGUGCACAGGUCUGGGAGGCCGAGCUCUGACAUGGGGUAGCAGGCUGUCAGAAGGGGCCCUGCGAGCAGUGCUGCCCCAUGGCACUGAGCCCCGUGGCUGUUCCUACACUUGGCUGGUGCUCAGGGCUGGCCCGACCCGAGCUGGGAGCAGUGACGGCCUGCGCCAGCAAAGGCGGCUCCCAGACAUCCCUCCUGGGUGACUCACACUGUGAUCUGUGCAUGGAGUUUGGGGUGCCGUGAGGCUCUUCCCUUUCUUUCUUCCCAUUAAAUCGGGGCUGUGGAGCUGGGGGAUGGCGGCUGGGGGAGCGGGGGGCGAGCAGAGGCUGUGGGUGCCCGGUUCCCAGCUGGGUGCUCUCAGGGGGGCCGUGCCGGAUGCAGGGCGUUGUGCUGGAGCUGCACCAUCUGCUUCUCGUCAGGCUGCUGGGAGCACCGCCGCUCCGGGGCCGGCAGUGGGACAUGGCUGUGAUGGAUGGUGUGUUUAUCGUGCUCUAGCGUUACUCAGGAUGUUAGUGCUCGUCUGCAAGAGAUGUUUCUGUGCUUGGCUGCUCCCUCCAUCCUCCCCUCCUCCUGCUCCCCCCAGACCCUUUCCCUUGGGCCCACACAGGGGUUGCAGGGGGUGUCCGUCCCACAGCCUCCAGCCCUGCCUGCAGCUGAGCUCCUGGGACCAGCACUGAAGCCUUCCCACAGGUACUGCCCAGCAGCAGGCUUCUCUCUGGUGAGGACAGGGAUGGUGGCAGGGAUAGGGCUCUGCAGGGCUUUCACAUGCUCCUCGUCCUCCAGGGGACACAAAGGAACAGCGUGCAGGGAGAAUGCAUUGUGUGAGACCUGCAUCUCACAUCACCCCAGGGGUGUCCUGGCCCUGCUGAGUGACAGACCCAUACUCUACAGCCACCCCAGCAGCCACAUCCGUGUGGUUUGAGACCACAGGCAGUGACUCCCCACUGCUGGGCCAGGUUCCAGAUCCUGCAGCCCUACAGACACACUGGGAUGCAGUAGUGGCCAGUGUGUAGCCCUUCUCCAAGCACAGCAGUUUAUCUGUGUGAUGCCGCAGGCCGUCCCCACCGGCCCCCAGCCUCAUCUAUCCUGCAGCCAUGAUGCCCAGCAGAACAGCCACACGCGGCCAUGCGUGGCACAGCACACAUCGAGCGCGGCUGGGGGCUCCUCCAUGUCUCCCAGCCCAAGGUGCAGUGCUGCAUCUCUGGUCAAUUGGGAGUCUGAGAUGAAGCACUGUAGCUCGGGAAGGGAGGAACUGUGCCCUGGGACCCCGACACCCCUCAGACUGCCGCCUGCUGGGAGCAUUGAUGCCAAUGGAAUGUGGGAACUGCGCAGUGAGAUGGGAAGCACCGCUCAUGACUGGAUGUGGGGGUCUGCUCCACCCCCCUCUGCUGCCUCUGGGGCUGGGCCCCCAACCGUGGGAGCAGGGGCUCUCCCAGAUGUGUUUUGGACGCUGCCUCUGAUGGAGAAGCAUAGAGAACGGAGCCUGCAGACACACAACGUGUCCUCCAAAGAUCCCAUAGGGGCUGCUGACCCCCAGCCAUGGGGCAGGGCUCAGCCCUCUGCUUUGUAUCCCUGUGACUGAAGGGCAGAGGAGCGGAGGUUUGCUUUGAGGCAGAGGAACACCCCUGCGCCCGGUCAGGAUCCCCAGAGCUCCCAGCUCCGUGUAGGGGUGGGCAGGGACAGCGGGUCACACAGAGCGGCCAGAGGAGCAGCUGUGCAGGGCAGGGGCCGGUGGGAGCCGCGGUCGCCGUGCUCUCAGGGUCCAGUUUUCCCAGGAAUCCCUUAGGCGCUACGUUGGGGAUUCCUGGAAAUACUGUUCUUGGGGCCACGGCUCUGCACCUGGAGACAGCCCGGCCCCGAGCGGAGCCGCAGCCCCGCAGGAGCCAGGGACGAGGUACGGGGCCGCGGCUGCGAGCGGGAACCCCGGGCAGCCCCGAUGUGGGGCGGUGGAGGGACCGGCCCAGGAAAUGUCCCCUCCCGCAGGGCCGGGGCAGACGGCCGGCCCCUCGGUCACAGCCCCUGCGGGCGGACACCGCCGGUGCCCUCCGCGGGGCUGCAUGCGCGUCAUCGAGCCGUACCAAUAAAGGUCUCUACUGCAA